GAUGAACGCUGGCUACAGGCUUAACACAUGCAAGUCGAGGGGAAACGACGGGGAAGCUUGCUUCCCCGGGCGUCGACCGGCGCACGGGUGAGUAACGCGUAUCCAACCUGCCCCUGACUGAGGGAUAACCCGUCGAAAGUCGGCCUAAUACCUCAUGGUAUCGUCUGCGGGCAUCCAACGACGAUUAAAGAUUUCAUCGGUCAGGGAUGGGGAUGCGUCUGAUUAGCUUGUUGGCGGGGUAACGGCCCACCAAGGCUACGAUCAGUAGGGGUUCUGAGAGGAAGGUCCCCCACAUUGGAACUGAGACACGGUCCAAACUCCUACGGGAGGCAGCAGUGAGGAAUAUUGGUCAAUGGGCGAGAGCCUGAACCAGCCAAGUAGCGUGCAGGAAGACGGCCCUAUGGGUUGUAAACUGCUUUUAUGAGGGGAUAAAGUGAGGGACGUGUCCCUCAUUGCAGGUACCGCAUGAAUAAGGACCGGCUAAUUCCGUG
rnacentral:rRNA from 1 species